UACGUAGGGGGCUAGCGUUGUCCGGAAUCAUUGGGCGUAAAGCGCGUGUAGGCGGUCCGGUAAGUCCGCUGUGAAAGUCGGGGGCUCAACCCUCGAAUGCCGGUGGAAACUGUCGGGCUAGAGUACGGAAGAGGCGAGUGGAAUUCCUGGUGUAGCGGUGAAAUGCGCAGAUAUCAGGAGGAACACCGAUGGCGAAGGCAGGUCUCUGGGCAUUAACUGACGCUGAGGAGCGAAAGCAUGGGGAGCGAACAGG
rnacentral:rRNA from 1 species